rnacentral:rRNA from 1 species
GAUGAACGCUGGCGGCGUGCCUAAUACAUGCAAGUCGAGCGAACGGACGAUAAGCUUGCGUCUCUGAUGUUAGCGGCUGACGGGUGAGUAAGACGUGGAUAACCUACCUAUAAGUCGUGGAGAACUUCGUGAAACCGGAUCUAAUACCGGAUGAUAUUUUGAACCGCAUGGUUCAAAGGUGAAAGGCGGUCUUGCUGUCACUUAUAGAUGGAUCCGCGCUGCAUUAGCUAGUUGGUAAGGUAACGGCUUACCAAGGCAACGAUGCAUAGCCGACCUGAGAGGGUGAUCGGCCACCCUGGAACUGAGACAAGGUCCAGACUCCUAAGGGAGGCAGCAGUAGGGAAUCUUCCGCAAUGGGCGACAGCCUGACGGAGCCAAGACGCGUGAGUGAUGAAGGUCUUCGGAUCGUAAAACUCUGUUAUUAGGGAAGAACAUAUGUGUAAGUAACUGUGCACAUCUUGACGGUAACUAAUAAGAAAGCCACGGCUAACCACGUG